rnacentral:misc_RNA from 1 species
UCUCCGUAGGUGAACCUGCGGAGGGAUCAUUACAGAGUUCUCGCCCUCACGGGUAGAUCUCCCUCCCAAUGUUAUCGUUACCACUGUUUCUUUGGCGGGCCGCCGGACCCUGCUCGGCCGCCGGCUCCGGCUGGCGCGCGCCCGCCAGAUGCCCUUUAAACCCUGAAUGUCAGUGUCGUCUGAGUACUAUACAAUAGUUAAAACUUUCAACAACGGAUCUCUUGGUUCUG